rnacentral:rRNA from 1 species
GACGAACGCUGGCGGCGUGCUUAACACAUGCAAGUCGAACGGAAAGGCCCUGCUUUUGUGGGGUGCUCGAGUGGCGAACGGGUGAGUAACACGUGAGUAACCUGCCCUUGACUUUGGGAUAACUUCAGGAAACUGGGGCUAAUACCGGAUAGGAGCUCCUGCUGCAUGGUGGGGGUUGGAAAGUUUCGGCGGUUGGGGAUGGACUCGCGGCUUAUGAGCUUGUUGGUGGGGUAGUGGCUUACCAAGGCUUUGACGGGUAGCCGGCCUGAGAGGGUGACCGGCCACAUUGGGACUGAGAUACGGCCCAGAGUCCUACGGGAGGCAGCAGUGGGGAAUAUUGCACAAUGGGAGGAAGCCUGAUGCAGCAACGCCGCGUGCGGGAUGACGGCCUUCGGGUUGUAAACCGCUUUCGCCUGUGACGAAGCGUGAGUGACGGUAAUGGGUAAAGAAGCACCGGCUAACUACGUG